AUCGUCAUCAUCUAAUUACUGUGACAUGACGAGAGUCCAUCAUGACAAACAGCUGAGUGUUCAGCUCUGCAGUGACCAGAAUGUCUCACAGUUGUCUUUCCGUGAUGUCCUACACAUUUAACAAAAUGUCUACACAUCCUGAGUCCUGAAUGACACAAAGAAAUCCCACUUUGUCACACAACAUUGUCAACUUCUACAGGAGACCCUCUCAGGUGUUUGGUGCCUUACUGAUAAGAUCAGCAGUGGUCUCGGGUUCAAACAGGCUCAGUAAAAAUGCCAGCAGUCAUUGAGCCUUUGAGCUCUGUGGCCUUCUAUCUGUCUGUCUGUCCCUCCUCAUGUCCUCACUUCUCUUUCUUUAUCUCCACAGCCUGUCUUAUUGUAAUCUCACCUCCAGAUGUUCCUCAUCUCUCUCCUCAGUCCUCUCUUCUCCACACUCACAGCUGACUGAACUGACCUGAACUUCAACAAACUGGGAGACUCAGGAGCUCGUCAGCUGUGGGAGGGUCUACGGACCCCAAACUGUAAAUUAAAGACACUGAGGCUAUUUAAUAAUGAGAUAAGUGAGAGUAAGAAGAAGAACCUGAGGUCAUUACAGGAGGAGCUGAACAGGACUGGACGGCAUGUGUUUAUCAGCAUAUGUUAAAAAUAGAACAUGCUGAUCCACUGACCCUAGUGAUGGCGCCCCCGUCCACUCCCUCUAAAUUCUCCUCUUUAUUCUUUUAUAAUCUCCUCAGCUCUCCUCCACAUUUAAUAAACUCUCCAUGUCUUCUUCUCA